rnacentral:ncRNA from 1 species
UCUACCUAGAGGGUUUCUGUCGAUCAAGGGCGAGAGUAGGAGUAUCCAACAGGAUUAGAGACCCUGGUAGUUCCUACCUUAAACGAUGCCGACAGGAGUUUGUCAUUUGUUAAUGGCAGAAUCUUUGGAGAAAUCAUAGUUCUUGGGCUCUGGGGGAACUACGACCGCAAGGCUGAAACUUGAAGGAAUUGACGGAAGGGCACACCAGGGGUGGAGCCUGUGGCUUAAUUUGAAUCAACACGGGGAAACUUACCAGGACCAGAUGUUUUUUAUGACUGACAGGCUUCGGGUCUUUCAGGAUAUUGUUUUUGGUGGUGCAUGGCCGUUGGUGGUGCGUGGGUUGACCUGUCUAGCGUUGAUUCAGCUAACGAGCGAGAUUAUCGCCAAUUAUUUACUUUGCCGAAGUCCUUCGGUUAAAGUUCUAAUUGGGACUCCCUGCGAUUUUAGCAGGUGGAAGAGGGUAGCAAUAACAGGUCCGUGAUGCCCUUUAGAUGCUCUGGGCUGCACGCGUGCUACAAUGUUAGGAUCAAUAGGACUGCGAGCCUGAGAGGGUGCGCUACUCUUAUAAUCCCUAACGUAGUUGGGAUUGACGUUUGUAAUCAGCGUCAUGAACCAGGAAUCCCUUGUAAAUGUGUGUCAACAACGCACGUUGAAUACGUCCCUGCCCUUUGUACACACCGCCCGUCGCUCCUACCGAUUGGAUGACUCGGUGAAAUCACCGGAUGCUUACGAGCAGAAAGUGAUUAAAUCACGUUAUCUAGAGGAAGGAGAAGUCGUAACAAGGUAACGGUAGGUGAACCUGCCGUUGGAUCAGUU